AUUAAGCCAUGCAUGCCUCAGUACAAACUGUUGUAGAGUGAAACCGCGAAUGGCUCAUUAAAUCGGUUAUGGUUCCUUGGACCUAACAUUUUACUUGGAUAACUGUGGUAAUUCUAGAGCUAAUACAUGCAUUUCAGUCGUGACCCGAAAGGGGAAGGACGCUUUUAUUAGAUCAAAGCCAAUCGGCCGGCUCGCCCGGUCGUUCCGUUUUGGUGACUCUGGAUAACCUUGGGCUGAUCGCACGGUCUCCGCACCGGCGACGUGUCCUUCAAAUGUCUGCCUUAUCAACUGACGAUGGUAGGUUUUGCGCCUACCAUGGUUGUAACGGGUGACGGGGAAUCAGGGUUCGAUUCCGGAGAGGGAGCCUGAGAAACGGCUACCACAUCCAAGGAAGGCAGCAGGCGCGCAAAUUACCCACUCCCGGCACGGGGAGGUAGUGACGAAAAAUAACGAUACGGGACUCAUCCGAGGCCCCGUAAUCGGAAUGAGAACAUUUUAAAUCUCUUAACGAUUACCCAUUAGAGGGCCAGUCUGGUGCCAGCAGCCGCGGUAAUUCCAGCUCUAAUAGCGUAUAUUAAAAUUGCUGCGGUUAAAAAGCUCGUAGUUUGACCUGUGCCCCGCGCUGCCGGUUCACCGCUCGUCGGUGUCCAACUGGCAUGCGUGCGGGGCGUCCUGCCGGUGGGCGCGAGCCGACCGCGGCGGCACGCGCUCUCGGGCCGGGCUCCGGCGGUGAGCAAUCGCUGUCGGGCCGGGCUCUCGGGGGCGUUGCGGCCCCGCGGAAGGCGGACCCCGAUCUCACCCGCCGCGGUGCUCUUAACUGAGUGUCGUGCGGGCCGGCACGUUUACUUUGAACAAAUUAACGUGCUUAACGCAGGCCUUUGUCUGCCCGAAUACUCUUGCAUGGAAUAAUGGAAUAGGACCUCGGUUCUAUUUGGUUGGUUUUCGGAAGUCGAGGUAAUGAUUAAUGGGGAUUGCCGGGGGCAUCCGUAUUGCGACGUUAGAGGUGAAAUUCUUGGAUCGUCGCAAGACGAACUGGAGCGAAAGCGUUUGCCAAGUAUGUUUUCUUUAAUCAAGAACGAAAGUUAGAGGUU
rnacentral:rRNA from 1 species